GACGAACGCUGGCGGCGUGCUUAACACAUGCAAGUCGAACGGUGACGGAGAGCUUGCUCUCCUGAUCAGUGGCGAACGGGCGAGUAACACGUGGGCAACCUGCCCAGACUUCGGGAUAACGCUUCGAAAGAGGUGCUAAUACCGAAUACGAACCUCCCUGGCAUCUGGGAGGUUGGAAAGUUUUUCGGUCUGGGAUGGGCCCGCGGCCUAUCAGCUUGUUGGUGAGGUAACGGCUCACCAAGGCGACGACGGGUAGCCGGCCUGAGAGGGCGACCGGCCACACUGGGACUGAGAUACGGCCCAGACUCCUACGGGAGGCAGCAGUGGGGAAUAUUGCGCAAUGGGCGAAAGCCUGACGCAGCAACGCCGCGUGAGGGAUGACGGCC
rnacentral:rRNA from 1 species